rnacentral:rRNA from 1 species
UACAGAGGUCCCAAGCGUUGUUCGGAUUCACUGGGCGUAAAGGGUGCGCAGGUGGUUUGGCAAGUUCGAUGUGAAAGCCCCGGGCUUAACCCGGGAAUGGCAUUGAAAACUGCUGGACUGGAGGAUCGGAGGGGGGACUGGAAUUCUUGGUGUAGCAGUGAAAUGCGUAGAUAUCAAGAGGAACACCAGUGGCGAAGGCGAGUCCCUGGACGAUACCUGACACUGAGGCACGAAAGCCAAGGGAGCAAACAGG